GACGAACGCUGGCGGCGUACCUAAUACAUGCAAGUAGAACGCUGAAGGAGGAGCUUGCUUCUCUGGAUGAGUUGCGAACGGGUGAGUAACGCGUAGGUAACCUGCCUGGUAGCGGGGGAUAACUAUUGGAAACGAUAGCUAAUACCGCAUAAGAGUAGAUGUUGCAUGACAUUUGCUUAAAAGGUGCAAUUGCAUCACUACCAGAUGGACCUGCGUUGUAUUAGCUAGUUGGUGGGGUAACGGCUCACCAAGGCGACGAUACAUAGCCGACCUGAGAGGGUGAUCGGCCACACUGGGACUGAGACACGGCCCAGACUCCUACGGGAGGCAGCAGUAGGGAAUCUUCGGCAAUGGACGGAAGUCUGACCGAGCAACGCCGCGUGAGUGAAGAAGGUUUUCGGAUCGUAAAGCUCUGUUGUAAGAGAAGAACGAGUGUGAGAGUGGAAAGUUCACACUGUGACGGUAUCUUACCAGAAAGGGACGGCUAACUACGUG
rnacentral:rRNA from 1 species